CCUACGGGUGGCAGCAGUGGGGAAUAUUGGACAAUGGGCGAAAGCCUGAUCCAGCCAUGCCGCGUGUGUGAAGAAGGCCUUCGGGUUGUAAAGCACUUUCAGUGGGGAAGAAAGCCUUGGGGCUAAUACCCUCGAGGAAGGACAUCACCCACAGAAGAAGCACCGGCUAACUCCGUGCCAGCAGCCGCGGUAAUACGGAGGGUGCGAGCGUUAAUCGGAAUUACUGGGCGUAAAGCGCGCGUAGGCGGUCUGAUAAGCCGGUUGUGAAAGCCCCGGGCUCAACCUGGGAACGGCAUCCGGAACUGUCAGGCUAGAGUGCAGGAGAGGAAGGUAGAAUUCCCGGUGUAGCGGUGAAAUGCGUAGAGAUCGGGAGGAAUACCAGUGGCGAAGGCGGCCUUCUGGACUGACACUGACGCUGAGGUGCGAAAGCGUGGGUAGCAAACAGUAUUAGAUACCCUAGUAGUC
rnacentral:rRNA from 1 species